rnacentral:rRNA from 1 species
GUUAAACAUAAAGAGCGUAGGGUGGAUGCCUAGGCACUGACAGCCGAAGAAAGACGUGACAAGCUGCGAAAAGCUGCGGGGAGAAGCACAUAUUCAGUGAUCCGCAGAUGUCUGAAUGGGGAAACCCGCUUGGAUAAACUCCAAGCAUCUGUACGCCAAUACAUAACGUACAGAAGGGAACCCGGUGAACUGAAACAUCUAAGUAGCCGGAGGAAAAGAAAACAAAAGUGAUUGCGAAAGUAGCGGCGAGCGAAAUCGUAAAAGCCCAAACCGUGGUGCGUGCACUGCGGGGUAGAGGACUGCAAUACGAGUAAGAUAUAUUACCUGAACCGUUUUGGAAAAGCGGGCCAAAGAGCGUGAGAGCCGUGUAAGGGAAAAUAUAUUGAAUCAAGCAGUAUCCGGAGUACCACGAGACACGAGAAACCUUGUGGGAAGCAGGGGGGACCACCCCCCAAGGCUAAAUACUUGUCAGUGACCGAUAGCGUAUAGUACUGUGAAGGAAAGGUGAAAAGAACCCCGGGAGGGGAGUGAAAAAGAACCUGAAACCCUAUGUUUACAAACUGUGGAACACCGAAAGGUGAACCGCGUACUUUUUGUAGAACGGUCCGGCGAGUUACAUGUACAGGCAAGGUUAAGUAUUAAAGAUACGGAGCCGAAGGGAAACCAAGUCUUAACAGGGCGAGAUAAGUCAGUAUGUGUAGACCCGAAACCGGGUGAUCUAUCCAUGUCCAGGUUGAAGUUCGCGUAAAAGUGAAUGGAGGACCGAACGCACAUCCGUUGAAAAGGGUGGCGAUGAGGUGUGGAUAGGGGAGAAAUUCCAAUCGAACCCGGAGAUAGCUGGUUCUCCUCGAAAUAGUUUUAGGACUAGCCUCGUUAAAGUCUACCGGAGGUAGAGCACUGAAUUUUUGCGGGGGCGUCAAAGCCUACCAAGAGAUAUCAAACUCCGAAUGCCGGCUAGAUGAUUAACGGGAGUCAGACUGCACGAGAUAAGUUGGGUAGUCAAAAGGGAAAGAGCCCGGACCCGCGGCUAAGGUCCCAAAGUGUGUGUUAAGUGGAAAAGGAUGUGGGAUUUCAAAGACAGCUAGGAUGUUGGCUUAGAAGCAGCCACACAUUAAAAGAGUGCGUAACAGCUCACUAGUCGAGAGGUCCUGCGCCGAAAAUGUCCGGGGCUAAACACAACACCGAAGCCCGGGAAUGUAUUAUAUACAUUGGUAGAGGAGCAUUCUUAUAAGCGUAGAAGCCAUACCGAAAGGAGUGGUGGAGUAAUAAGAAGAGAGAAUGCCGGAAUGAGUAGCGAGAAAGAGGUGAGAAUCCUCUUGGCCGAAUAUCUAAGGUUUCCUGAGUAAAGCUGAUCUGCUCAGGGUAAGUCGGGGCCUAAGGCAAGGGAGAAAUCCGUAGUCGAUGGAUAACAGGUACAGAUUCCUGUACUACAUAUAAUCAGAACUGUGGGGACACGGAGACUAAAACCGAACCCGGGAGGACAAAAACCGGGGCAAGCGAAGUACCUGUAUGGGAGGCAAAUCCACCAUACAAAGGGAAGACGUGAUGCGUACCGAAAAAUAGUAGGGAAGUCGGUUAGGGAGCCGUCAAGAAAAGCCGCUAUUGUAUUAUAUGUACCCGUACCGCAAACCGACACAGGUAGAUGAGGAGAGAAUCCUAAGGCCGGCGGGAGAAGCAUUGUUAAGGAACUCGGCAAAAUGACCCCGUAACUUCGGGAGAAGGGGUGCCACUUUAAUAGAGUGGUCGCAGAAAAAAGGCUCAAGCAACUGUUUAGCAAAAACACAGGUCUAUGCGAAACCGUAAGGUGAAGUAUAUGGGCUGACGCCUGCCCGGUGCCGGAAGGUUAAGAGGAGAAGUCAGGAAACGAAGCUUUGAACCUAAGCCCCGGUAAACGGCGGCCGUAACUAUAACGGUCCUAAGGUAGCGAAAUUCCUUGUCGGGU